UACGAGGGGGGCGAGCGUUGUUCGGAAUUAUUGGGCGUAAAGGGUGCGUAGGCGGUUCCGCAAGUCCUGUGUGAAAUCUUCGGGCUCAACUCGAAGUCUGCACGGGAAACUGCGGGGCUUGAGUGUGGGAGAGGUGAGUGGAAUUCCCGGUGUAGCGGUGAAAUGCGCAGAUAUCGGGAAGAACACCCGUGGCGAAGGCGGCUCUCUGGGCCGUAACUGACGCGUGAGGAGGCGAAAGCGUGGGGAGCGAACAGG
rnacentral:rRNA from 1 species